UACGUAGGGGGCAAGCGUUAUCCGGAUUUACUGGGUGUAAAGGGAGCGUAGACGGCAGCACAAGUCUGGAGUGAAAUCCCGGGGCUUAACCCCGGAACUGCUUUGGAAACUGUGCGGCUGGAGUGCAGGAGGGGUAAGCGGAAUUCCUAGUGUAGCGGUGAAAUGCGUAGAUAUUAGGAGGAACACCGGUGGCGAAGGCGGCUCACUGGACUGUAACUGACGUUGAGGCUCGAAAGCGUGGGGAGCAA
rnacentral:rRNA from 1 species